UCGCGAACGACACAUCACUCUUAUCUCCCUUCGCUGCCUCUUGGACGCUCAAGGUUCUUUUCGCUCCCAACAAGAUGAAGCUGUGUGUUUUCCUCGUGGUUCUUGCGAUUUCAGCCCAAGUGGUCGUUAACACGGCGGCGACGAGGACGACAAAUUUGGCUGCAUCCACCAUGAGCCCAGCCCCUGCCAACACGACUGUCAUGAACGCAUGCUCCAGGAUCAACGCCUCCAUCUUGCUGACCCUGACCCUGGCCCUCGCCUUGGUCCCUCUGUUCUACAAUACAUGGUGCUGAUGCGUGCGCUAAGAGCCCCUUCACUGGACAUGAAGAGUUCAAUGGCCUUGCCACUUGGUUUGUCCAAAGAUGAGACACCUGGAGUUUGAUGGUCUGAAUGUGCUGCAGAAGCGCUUUGUCAAGUCGUGAAAGUCUUUCAUUGACUGGACUAUCACCAGGAAGUAACGCACUGUGUGCUGUCCAAUAGUUGGCGACGUCUUUGUCUUAAAUGUCCAGUGAGUGUGUCCCUUUUUUUAAUAUAUAUAAAAGGAUGCCAGUUAAACUUUGUACUUUUGAAAAUAUAAAACAUUGAGUGCUUUUUAGGUCUUGAAAUAUUUUGUAAAUUCAAUAAACAUUCAACUCGGUGACUUUGGCUGAAUUUCUAAAUGUUCACUUGGAUUUUGUGACGUGUAACGUAUUUUCCGCACUCUAGGGCGCACCCAAAAGUCUUCCGUUUUCUUAAAAGCUCACGGCGUGCCUUAAAAUCAGGUGCGCCUUGUGUAUGGUCAUUUUGCCGAAAUGACCAUACACAAGGCGAAAUGAUUUCGGUAAUAUGUUGACCCAAGAUGGCUCUUUGCUGGAGACAUGCUUGCAAUGUUAUAACUUGCUGUUGGUUCAGUGAACGGUGUCGCUGCUUCAUUCAAUGUUUUUGUUGCCGCUCUGAAAAAAGGAGAGCUGUGGUGGUUUUUUUUUUUUAAACGCACAUUAAUGGUUUUCAUUCUCAACAAAUACCGGUCCGUCUUUGUCCUUCUCGGUGCCUCCUCUUCUUCCGUUCGACUCGAGAGGCGUUCAUGACUGCCUACGAAAAACGUAAAU